rfam:Candidatus Buchananbacteria bacterium RIFCSPLOWO2_01_FTLL_56_15 rifcsplowo2_01_scaffold_44264, whole genome shotgun sequence.
GGAGAGGUGGCCGAGUGGUUUAAGGCGACGGUCUCGAAAACCGUUUGGGCGCAAGUCCUCGUGGGUUCAAAUCCCACCCUCUCCG